rnacentral:rRNA from 1 species
UACGGAGGAUGCGGGCGUUAUCCGGAUUUAUUGGGUUUAAAGGGUGCGCAGGCGGAGGCACAAGUCAGCGGUAAAAUCGCGGGGCUCAACCCCGCUCCGCCGUUGAAACUGUGUCCCUUGAGUGCGCGAAGGGUAGGCGGAAUGCGUGGUGUAGCGGUGAAAUGCAUAGAUAUCACGCAGAACUCCGAUCGCGAAGGCAGCCUACCGGCGCGCGACUGACGCUCAUGCACGAAAGCGUGGGUAUCGAACAGG